UCAUGCCAGGCUGCGGCUGCUGCUGAGACAAGGAGCCUAGUGGGAGGAGCCAGGAGUGGGGGACAGUGCCCCUGAUGCUUCUGUACAGGAUGAGGGAGAUAAAUGCACCUGAGAGGGAAGGAAUUUUAAAGCCAGUUGGAGUGAAAAUGUCCUCAUCUUCUCUGGGACAGGAAAUCCUUUUUACCUACAUAGAAAAGUUACGUUAUUGGAAUUUACAUCCCUCCUCCAUAAGAAAAAAGACAUCUUCUCUUCCAAAUGUCCACCAUGCUAAUUUUAUCUCUUUCUUAUUAUAUUUAACUUUAAAAAUCUUGAUCAUUAUAAUUGCUGUGGGUCGUAUAUUCACUGUGAAUAUUCUGUGAGAGAUGACAGUUUUAUUCUUAAUAACCUGCAUAUUAAGAAUCGCCAUGCCUUUUUCAUGGUUAGUGUUCAAUCCACAUGUUAAAAGAAUGAAAAAUGCAUUACUGAAUUAUCUUAUAUUACCCUUUUUUGCAGAAUCAUUCUUUGUAGUGUUAGUGAAAUAUGCCGAAUAUUAAAAUAGGAACCAAACUUUUUAUAAAAUGCUGCCUCUGCUGUCUCACAAUGCCUAAUGCUACCUCUAAACGAUAGUUAUUAUUCUUUUCUGUCAUAUAAAGAAACAUAGUCAUGCCAAUUGGUUUUUUGCCACUAUAUAUCCAGUGGGAAUCACACAGAGAAUCAAUUCAUUACAAUGAUAAAUUACACCAUUAAAUAGUAUAUUAUGCCAGAAUAAUCUAGAAGGUCAUGAAAGAAAGAUUAAGAGAUGACAAGAGAAUCUACAAUGUGUAAGAAAGUGCAUGAUACAUGAAAAAAUAGGUUUUGGUUUGAUAUCUACCAAAUAUGUUAAAUGAAUAUAUAACCCUGUAAAAAUUGAAAAAUUACAUACUUGUAAAAUCAGAAUAAAACUUGAGAUACUCAUCUUUUGUAUA
rnacentral:lncRNA from 1 species